UACGUAGGGUGCAAGCGUUAAUCGGAAUUACUGGGCGUAAAGCGUGCGCAGGCGGUUUUGUAAGACUGUCGUGAAAUCCCCGGGCUUAACCUGGGAAUGGCGAUGGUGACUGCAAGGCUAGAGUUUGGCAGAGGGGGGUAGAAUUCCACGUGUAGCAGUGAAAUGCGUAGAUAUGUGGAGGAACACCGAUGGCGAAGGCAGCCCCCUGGGUCAAAACUGACGCUCAUGCACGAAAGCGUGGGGAGCAAAAGGG
rnacentral:rRNA from 1 species